rnacentral:rRNA from 1 species
UGUAAACUUCUUUUGGAUGGGGACAAACCACUUCAUUUAUGGGGUGCUGAGGGUACCAUCAGAAUAAGCACCGGCUAACUCCGUGCCAGCAGCCGCGGUAAUACGGAGGGUGCGAGCGUUAUCCGGAAUCACUGGGUUUAAAGGGUGCGUAGGCGGUUCGAUAAGUCAGUUGUGAAAUUCCCCGGCUUAACCGGCGGGACUGCGAUUGAUACUGUCGGACUUGAAUCAGGUUGAGGUAGGCGGAAUGUGACAUGUAGCGGUGAAAUGCUUAGAUAUGUCAUAGAACACCGAUUGCGAAGGCAGCUUGCUGGGCUUAGAUUGACGCUGAGGCACGAAAGCGUGGGGAGCAAACAGGAUUAGAUACCCUGGUAGUCCACGCCCUAAACGAUGUUUACUUGCUGUUCCUGUCUAGUAUGGGAGUGGCGAAGCGAAAGCGAUAAGUAAACCACCUGGGGAGUACGCCGGCAACGGUGAA